ensembl:lncRNA GFOD3P Gfo/Idh/MocA-like oxidoreductase domain containing 3, pseudogene
GCUCGGACGGACCCACUCCAGCCCCCGCUGCACGCGGAAGCGCUCAUCCUCCCCGCCUGCCCCGUUCCCUCCCCCUUCUCCUGUGGGACAACCAGGGACCGCAGCUCCCCGCUCCCCAGGUGUGGGGGCUCCGACACGAACGCCUCUGCUCGCAGGGCGGUGAGCGCAGAUCCCACGGGUCCCUCGGUCGGGGGUCGAGGCUGCUUCCGUUUCCAUCCCGGACCCGACAAUGGGCGGGAAAAAGAAGGCUUUACACGACUACGCGGCGGAGUUCACCGACCUGGUGGUGAAGCACCUGAUUGAGCACAGUGACUCUGGGGACACGUCUGUGGUGGAGACCCUUUACUGCAGGGCCUGCGAGCUGCCCGUGCGCGUGCGGAGGGACCGCAUCCUGGAACACCUGUCCUCGGGCAGGCAGCACGGCCUGCGGACGCCCAUUCUCAUGUAAAUGUCAGUGCCAACGCUGGUGUUUCAGGAGUCAUCCCAGCGGGCUGCGGGCUAUUUUAGGAUUCUCUGCCCUGCAAACGUUUCCAAAGUACGUGGACAGGCCGCCUGAUGACACUACGUUUACGGGAUCUGCUAGUGGCUUGCCUACUUAGGGAGUAAACCCUGUGAAGUCUCGCAGUUUUGUUAAAGUGUGCGUGGCCACCUGAAUGCUGCCUUAUCACAAGCCAGAUACAUACUGGUCUGUAGGGUAACUCCCCACUGUUGAUCCUCUGAGAUGAUUGUGGACUGGGUGCUGUGAGUCCUGCCACUUUGUUUAAGUGAAUGUGUCUUUUGUCCAGCUCAGCCGCCUCGGAUCUCGCUGCCACCAGCCUUACUGCACACCCGUGCCACCCGCCCUUGCCCCGUCAGCCUCAGCCUCAGCUCAUUCUCUCAGGCAGUCCCAGCAUUGGCACGGUACCUCCUCCCGCUGUGGGCCACACGUCUCUGCUCCCUGUCAACCCUCCUGCCAUCAGCACCACCACCAGCGACUUGUCUGCCCGGGAGGAUGCAACACCAUCUGCCUCCACCGGCCACCUUUCAGUGUUUCCUGCUUUCCAAGUAAAGAUACCAGCAGUGCCCUCAGAGCAGACCAGCCAGAGUUUUUCUGAAGCCUCCCACAGGGUGCUCCCCGGAGGAGGCCCGAGAUGCUCUCGUGACUUUGGAGCCGGGGUGGCUGGCCACCUUGGCCUGGGCAUCUUUGGGGUGGGCUUCGGGAGCCCGGCACUGCUGCAGAGUGUGGUGGAUGAGAACAGCUGCUGCUUGCUGUACGUGGUGGAGGACCAGCUGUGUGAUGUGGAGCAAGCCUUCAGAGCUGAGCAUUUGGGCCAACACCAGAGUGGUUCGGGAACAGGAUGCAGACAUUGUCCUCAACGACCAGCGGCACUUUGAUCCGGUUUUCCAGUUCUUGCACAAGCAAGUUUGUGUCAGCCACGCCCUGGGGAGGAUCCACUGGAUCACCGCCGUCACUGCCUGUUCCCGGCGGCCUCUCCGGCUUCCCUAAAGAGAGCAGGUGGGACUUUCUACAACGCUGCUGUGCACGACGUGGAUGCCGUAUGCAUGUUGCUGGGGGAAGCCACUCCGGACACUGUGUUUUCUCUGGGACAUGUCUUCUGCCCAGGUUGCAAAGGUGAAGAAACACAGUCCCGGCUGGAAGUCACAGCCAGGGUGGGAUGCACACAGAUUAGCAGAUCAUCAGCGAGCACCAGAUAUGGCCGCCUUAAAAGAUGCAGAUGCUGUUGUGAUCAGCAUGAAGUUUCCCUGUGAGGCCGUGGUUAGCGUGGACAUCAGCCAGCACUGCACAGACAGCUGCGACCAGGACGUCAGCCAGCACUGCACAGACAGCUGCGACCAGAGACUGGAGAUGGAGUCUUGCCCUGUCACCCAGGCUGGAGUGCAAUGGUGCGAUCUCGGCUCACUGCAACCUCCGUCUCCCAGGUUCAAGCGAUUCUUCUGCCUCAGCCUUCUGAGUAGCUGGGAUUACACGCGUGUGCCACCACGCUCGGCUAAUUUUUGUAUUUUUAGUAGAGAUGGGAUUUCACCAUGUUGGCCAGGCUGGUCUCGAACUACUGACCUCGUGAUCCACCUGCCAUGGCCUCCCAAAGUGCUGGGAUUACAGGCGUGAGCCACCAUGCUCGGCCUAAAAAACAAUUUUCUUGAAGAAUCCGAUUUUGUGCAUAGUAAUGACACAGCACCAUUCCUGAGAAAUAGGAAAUAUAUGUGUGUGGUAUGAAAAGCCCAUAUUCUGUUCUUGUCACCUGAAUCUAGGCUUCCUCUUUGGAUGUGAACGCGGGAAUGAACAGUGGCUGUUUUCCACCCAAAGGGGCGUGGAGACCUUUUGGAAACGGGCUUUCUCCUUUCCAUUUUGCAGCCGGGGGCGG